GACGAACGCUGGCGGCGUGCUUAACACAUGCAAGUCGAACGGAAAGGCCCUGCUUUUGUGGGGUGCUCGAGUGACGAACGGGUGAGUAACACGUGAGUAACCUGCCCUUGACUUUGGGAUAACUUCAGGAAACUGGGGCUAAUACCGGAUAGGAGCUCCUGCUGCAUGGUGGGGGUUGGAAAGUUUCGGCGGUUGGGGCUGGACUCGCGGCUUAUCAGCUUGUUGGUGGGGUAGUGGCUUACCAAGGCUUUGACGGGUAGCCGGGCUGGGAGGGUGGCCGGCCCCGUUGGGACUGGGCUGCGGCCCAGACUCCUACGGGAGGCAGCGGUGGAGAAGAUUGCACUAUGGGCGGAAGCCUGAUGCAGCAACGCCGCGUGCGGGAUGACGGCCUUCGGGUUGUAAACCGCUUUCGCCUGUGACGAAGCGUGAGUGACGGUAAUGGGUAAAGAAGCACCGGCUAACUACGUG
rnacentral:rRNA from 1 species